ensembl:lncRNA
AGAUACAAACUGCUUAUCUGCCCACAACAGGAGAAUAUUUUCCAUAUACUUCCCCAGAUGCAGUAACCAAAGACAUUUUAAGUUGUUCAGCAAGGAGUUGUAUUUGCUGAACAUGCAGCUAUGUUGCUUUUAAAAGUAGGGCAUAGAUAACUUUAACCAUGAAUCACUGAAUAAGUUAUUGAUUGAAUGCUCCAGACUGGAGUGUCGAAACUUCACUGGAUAUACAGUUUGAUGAAACCUAGAAUGAUACAAAUGCUGAAAAAUGAGUAUGUUGUAUAAAAUUCAAUCAGUUGUAGUCAGCAAUACCUUUGAAAAAACCAGGGAGAACUAAUCUCUCCCUCCCCCUGGACCUCUAUUUAGAGACCCUAGUUUCUGAUUCAUGGUUCUUCUAUGUGGCAUUUGGGCAAAGAAACUGGCUGAAACACAACAGCUGAAAAUGAAGAAUUCUGAAUUUUUGCUGAUGCCAGUAUAACAUCCUAAAUAUCAAUUCAGCUAAUAAAGAUUAUACUUCAAGUUAUGGGUGAAAAAGAAAGAAAUAAAGAGGAAAAAAUGCUUCUUUCAGUGCAAAAGAAAAUCCACAUCAAGAUACAUUUAUCUGUGGAAUUUGAGAUAUAUCUCCUUCUCUGGUCAACAUUAUAUUCAAAUAAUUUGAGUAUCUGCAACUAUUUUUUUCUGAUGCUUUUCUGUGAGCAAUUUAAAUGUUUUCUGUAAUAAACAGCACUACUGCAGAUUUCCUUGAUAAAUACAACUAAAAAAUUACAGGAAGUGUACUUCCCCUGAAUAUUUGAUACAUCUAUGAAGAAAAUACCUGUGAAAGCUACAAAAGUCACACAUAGCCACACAUGAGGGCAUCUGAGUCUUACUCUCCCUUCAGUUUUGAUAUUGCAUCCCAAUCUGUGUCAUAUUGCUUUAUUUUCUAGUGGAUAUGCAUUUUCUGGUGCUCCCUGGUGUAUCCAUCCCCAUUCACUAGAGAUGUCAAUCUCAGUUGAGUUUGGGAAAGAAGAAACUAGGGUAAAUGAGAAACUAGAUACUUCAAAGAUCUAUUUUGUACUUCCCUACUAAUAAUCCUUUCAUAGCCUGAUCCAUCUUCAUAUACAUGCAGUUAAUACUAUUGCUUUUUUGGGAAGUAGAAAAUCCCCUUUGCAAGUGUUUGUUUGUUGGCCUAGAUACCCUGCUUUAGAUUGGUAUUUUAGUGUUUCACCCUUUCUGGUGAGUUUUCACACAGCCAGACAUAUCUGACACUUGGAUCUCUCAGGAGAGACACACACCUGGGACUUGCUUCAAAAAAAACUUUGAUGAGGCUGUAAGCAUACACAUUCCUGCAGAGACCAUUCAAAAACAUCAGACUGGGCUCUGGGACACCGUACUGGCAUUAAGAUUCAAAUCCACAUGGCUGAAAUAGAUUUUCCUCUAGUUUGAUGUUGUAUACAAAAAAAAUGGUUUUUAUUUCAACACUUAGUGAAAAGAAAUAGUUUUGAACCAGAAAGAAAAUGAAUAUACUUUUACAGCCUAGAGCUGUAUGACUAAAUCUCAGAGAGGAGAUAAGGGUAAAGUGUCAAAAAAUAUUAUUCCUGUCUACUUUUAGUCACUGUCUGUCACUUACUGAGAGACAGUCUUGAGUAAUGCAUCUAGUUUGGGACAUUAAAGUUUCUGUAAAAUGUAAAUACACCAUAAAGAAAGUGAAGGAGGAUAAUAUUGAGAGGCUUUGAAUGAGAGAUUGGUGGUGAACAGUUUAAGGACUUAUCCUCCUUUUGCCUCAAAGUUAAUACCACAAAUUCUGGAUGGUAGAAAAAAAAUGUGACAAAAGAUAAGGAGGCUGAAAGACUUGCAUUGGAGUAAGACAAGAAAAUUAAAAAAUCAGUUUGAUAGAAGCAUGGUAGGACAGUAGGAGAAUUUAGAAUGUUCAGUACAACAGAGUUUUAAAUAAAAGGCCAUCAAAAUAAAACCAGGCUAAGGAAAAUGAAGCAGUUGCUUAGGCUGUCUAGGUGGACUACAGAAUCUGUCUCUCUGAAGGCUUAUAAACCAGAUUAAAAUAACCCUAGAUAUAAUUAUCCUUCUUCUCACAGGACAUGGAGGGGUGGACUGGGUGACUUCCUGAAGUCUCUUUGAAAAAUACAUAUUUUCAAUACCACAAAUGAAUGAAAAUAUCAAUAUAAAUGUGACUAAAUAGAAAAUAAAGCUUUUUUGCUCCAUUUC